AAUCUUUACCAGUUAAUCAUCUAUGAGCAGAUAAGACUGGUGGUUGAGUCCAUUAUUUUUUUUUACCUCUCUUUUGUGGAGUUUAAAGGGGUAAGGGUGAAGAUCGUUUCGUUCCUUAUUGUAGAAUUUUUCGUAGCCAACUUACUACAGAUUUUAUUUCCUGGCUUUAUUUCUUGAGCUCGGCAGGUACUCAGAUACUACUUCUCAUUUUGACGCUAUAACGUGUUUUUAAUUAUAUCUCAAUAAUUGGUAAAUGGGGUCCGAUGGGCCUCCUGCAGUAACAAUUCAUGUGACGGGUUUUAAGAAAUUCCAUGGAGUUUCAGAGAAUCCAACUGAGACAAUUGUUAGUAAUCUCAAAGAGUAUGUGAUGAAGAAGGGACUGCCGAAAGGUCUAAUUCUUGGGAGUUGUAGCAUUCUUGAGACUGCUGGACAAGGAGCUCUUUCUGCCUUAUACCAGACGUUGCAAUCUGCCAUUAGUGGGGUGGAUUCUGAAUCUUCAAAUUCUGGAAGAACUAUUUGGGUACACUUUGGAGUUAAUAGUGGUGCAACAAGGUUUGCCAUUGAGCAACAAGCUGUCAAUGAAGCUACUUUUCGCUGUCCCGAUGAGCUGGGAUGGAAGCCCCAGAAAGCUCCCAUCAUUCCUGCAGAUGGUGGAAUUUCACACACGCGACAGACCUCUCUUCCAGUUAAGGAGAUUACCAAGGCAUUGGCAAAGAUGGAUUAUGAAGUGAUGACCUCAGAUGAUGCAGGACGAUUUGUAUGCAAUUAUGUUUAUUAUCAUUCACUUCAAUUUGCAGAGCAGAAAGGGACCAAAUCGCUCUUUGUGCAUGUGCCCCUCUUCUUGACCAUAGACAAGGAGACCCAAAUGCGGUUUGCUGCCUCAUUGUUGGAGGUGUCAAAGUCACUGGAAUAGUUAGUGGUGGCUAGUGGCGCCGUGUGUUAUCACUAUCACCGUCUGUGGUGAUUUGUGAUGAUGAGUGGUGGUUGUUCUCUUCAGCGUUGGCGGCAGGGAGCUGAGAAAGCCUUUUGUAGCGUGUUUCUGGUGACCUCAGGUGUCAAAGUCAUCAAAACACAACUUGCCGGUGUUUUCUGUGCAUGCUGGUCUCAACAAACCCAAUUCUCGAUAGGGUAUGCCCCUAACAUGGAAUAGGAACUUAUUCAUAUCUAGAAUAAGACCCGUAUGGUAAUGCAUAUAAGGUAAACCAGCUUGUCUUAUUCUCGUUUAGGAUAGCUUAUUCCAGUUUUAAGUCAGCUGUGAAACCGGUAUAAACUGGUACCCAAAACUUUUCGAAACAGGUCGGUUCAAGCUCGAAAUAGGGUAGUUUAGGCACGAUAUUUGUUUAUUUUGACCGGUACAGGCUAGUUCCACUUGAUACAGGCCCGAAAUUUGGGGUUUUAAUCUAGAUUUCUACUUUUUUAGAUUAUAUUUUCUAGUUUUUCAUCCAUAUUUCAUGUUUUUGUAUGAAAUCUUUGUUUCCAAGUGAAUUGUUGUGAUACUUUUCUUCAUGGCAACUAAAUUGGAGUAACUGUCUCUUGCACCAAAUAUCAGUAUGCUUAUGACUUCGGAGAAGUUGAAUGGAAAAAAUUAUAUGUUGUGGUCAAAAUCUGUUGAAAUGUUUUUGAAAGGCAAUGGUCUUUGUUGUACUCACUUGGUUGAUCUAAUGCCUAUCUCGACUAGUUCUGCUUUUCCUCAAUGGGAGGAAACAAAUGUUCAAAUAUUGUCUCUAAUGUUUAUUAGUAUUGAGCCUAAUAUUUGCACAAGUUUAAUACAUUUUGACAUUGCUCAAGAAGUGUGGAGACAUCUCAAACAAAUGUAUUCGGGUGCUAGAAACAUAACCCGUAUUUAUGAGUUGUGUAAACAAUUUUUUAUGUUGGAACAGACUGCUUUGGGCCUGUAAGAAUAUUAUUCUCUAGUGAUGAGCAUAUAUGAAGAAUUCAAAAUGUAGCAAUC